GACGAACGCUGGCGGCGUGCUUAACACAUGCAAGUCGAACGGUAAGGCCCUUCGGGGUACACGAGUGGCAAACGGGUGAGUAACACGUGGGUGAUCUGCCCUGCACUUCGGGAUAAGCCUGGGAAACUGGGUCUAAUACCGGAUAGGACUCCUGGCUUCAUGGUUGGGGGUGUAAAGCUUUUGCGGUGUGGGAUGGGCCCGCGGCCUAUCAGCUUGUUGGUGGGGUAAUGGCCUACCAAGGCGACGACGGGUAGCCGGCCUGAGAGGGUGACCGGCCACACUGGGACUGAGAUACGGCCCAGACUCCUACGGGAGGCAGCAGUGGGAAUAUUGCACAAUGGGCGCAAGCCUGAUGCAGCGACGCCGCGUGAGGGAUGACGGCCUCGGUUGUAACUCUUUCAAUAGGACGAAGCGCAAGUGACGGUACCUAUAGAAGAAGGA
rnacentral:rRNA from 1 species